rnacentral:rRNA from 1 species
UGGGGAAUUUUUCGCAAUGGGGGCAACCCUGACGAAGCAACGCCGCGUGGGUGAUGAAGUCUCUUGGGACGUAAAACCCUUUCGACAGGGAAGAAACCGCAAGGUUGACGGUACCUGUAGAAGAAGCCCCGGCUAACUCCGUGCCAGCAGCCGCGGUAAUACGGGGGGGGCAAGCGUUGUUCGGAAUUACUGGGCGUAAAGGGCGCGUAGGCGGUCUAUUAAGUUGGAUGUGAAAACUCUGGGCUUAACUCAGAGCCUGCAUUCAAAACUGAUAGGCUGGAGUUCUGGAGGGGAUAGCGGAAUUCCUGGUGUAGCGGUGAAAUGCGUAGAUAUCAGGAGGAACACCGGUGGCGAAGGCGGCUAUCUGGACAGAAACUGACGCUGAGGCGCGAAAGCUAGGGGAGCAAACAGGAUUAGAUACCCUGGUAGUCCUAGCCCUAAACGAUGGAUACUUGGUGUGACCGGGAUUGAAUCCGGUCGUGCCGAAGCUAACGCAUUAAGUAUCCCGCCUGGGGAGUACGGUCGCAAGGCUGA